GGAGAUGUGGCCGAGUGGUCGAAGGCAGCACCUUGCUAAGGUGUCGUACGGUCUGACCGUACCGUGAGUUCGAAUCUCACCAUCUCCGCCA
rnacentral:tRNA from 1 species